rnacentral:tRNA from 2 species
UCCCUGAUGGUCCAGUGGCUAAGAUUUUGCACUCCCAAUGCAGGGGCCCAGGUUCAAUCCCUGGUCAGGGAA